AGUGAACAUUCUCCAGAGGUUGC
rnacentral:siRNA from 1 species